GUCCUCCAGCUGCUUUUCCUGAUAUUGGUAGAGCUUUUUUGUUGGCUGCGCCUCAUGGUAUGUGGUAUCUUAGGUUUGCAACCAGGGAUGAAACCAACUUGAGCUGCGGUGAAAGUGUGGUGUCUUAACCCCAGCACCACCAGGAUUUACAGCCUCAGCGUUGACUCCAGAUUCAGCCCUUGCCAUCUUGCUCCCCACCUUGAGAGCAGCAGCACCAAAAAUAGCAGCAUGAGUCACUGAAGCAUCGGGCAUCGUCGUCAAGGGCCAGGACGCCUGCUGCGGUGGAGCUUCUGCUUGAUUUCCAGGGACCUGGGGAAGGGAACCCUGGCCAGCUGGCCCCCAUCACUGCCUCCUGGACCCUGGGGGAGAGCUGAGUUCACUAAGAAAUUUGAAGCCUGAACUGGUGGAAAUGUUAAUGUUCAGAAUGGCUUUACCAUGACACUGCAUAAGGACCUCAGGGUCCCUCAUUUGCACCCCUUCUAAAGUUCUAUACUUUUUUUUUUUUACACUGUAUUUUAUUUUUCUUUUCUGAAAGAGGGCUCUCAAAGUUUUAUGUUUCAGGUCUGAGAAAACAAGCAUGGGUUAAUUUUGUUUAAUUCUUAUUGUGACCUUGGGAAACCAUUGGCUUGUCUUCUCUAUUUACAGACAAAGGAUACGAGAGCAGAGAAAAGCCUUCCUUGGGUUCCUGGAAAAUUCCAGCUCCAUCACAGCUUUCCUGGAAUCCUGCCACGGCCAACUAGGAGGUCCCCUGGGCUUUCAGCCUCGUCCCUGACACAGCAGUCAGGGGGAUCCUGAUAAACCUGUCAGAUCACAUCACUUUCCUGCUCAAAAUCCGCUGGCAUGUUCCAAAGUGAACACAACGCCAUCUCAUACUGCAGGGUCUCCUGCCCACCCCUAGUUCCUCUAGUCGCCCCUCCUUCCUACCCCCGCCAUUUUGGCUACCCCAAGGCCU
ensembl:lncRNA